rnacentral:lncRNA from 1 species
ACGGCCUGGUGAUCAACCCAAUCCAAGUACUUACUAAUCGGAUCAUCUAAUCUAAUCACAUAUCAUAUAUGCUUAAAUUUAGAUCUAAUCUAAAUUAUAUUAAAUCUAAUCAUAAUCUUAGAUCAUAUCUAAAUCAGAUCAUAAAUAUCAUAUGUAACAUAUAAAAUCAGAUUUUAUCAAAGAUCAGUACAAACUAGGAC